AGAGUUUGAUCAUGGCUCAGAUUGAACGCUGGCGGCAGGCCUAACACAUGCAAGUCGAACGGGGUGUUUAUUUCGGUAAACACCAAGUGGCGAACGGGUGAGUAACGCGUGAGGAACCUGCCUCAAAGAGGGGGACAACAGUUGGAAACGACUGCUAAUACCGCAUAAGCCCACGGAUCCGCAUGGAUCAGAGGGAAAAGGAGCAAUCCGCUUUGAGAUGGCCUCGCGUCCGAUUAGCUGGUUGGUGAGGUAACGGCCCACCAAGGCGACGAUCGGUAGCCGGACUGAGAGGUUGAACGGCCACAUUGGGACUGAGACACGGCCCAAACUCCUACGGGAGGCAGCAGUAGGGAAUCUUCCGCAAUGGGCGAAAGCCUGACGGAGCAACGCCGCGUGAACGAAGAAGGUCUUAGGAUCGUAAAGUUCUGUUGUUAGGGGCGAAGGGCAACAUUUUGAAUAAGGGUGUUGUUUGACGGUACUUAACGAGGAAGCCACGGCUAACUACGUGCCAGCAGCCGCGGUAAUACGUAGGGUGCAAGCGUUAUCCGGAUUUAUUGGGCGUAAAGGGAACGCAGGCGGUCUUUUAAGUCUGAUGUGAAAGCCUUCGGCUCAACCGGAGAAUUGCAUCAGAAACUGUUGAACUUGAGUGCAGAAGAGGAGAGUGGAACUCCAUGUGUAGCGGUGGAAUGCGUAGAUAUAUGGAAGAACACCAGUGGCGAAGGCGGCUCUCUGGUCUGCAACUGACGCUGAGGCUCGAAAGCAUGGGUAGCGAACAGGAUUAGAUACCCUGGUAGUCCACGCCGUAAACGAUGAAUGCUAGGUGUUGGAGGGUUUCCGCCCUUCAGUGCCGCAGCUAACGCAAUAAGCAUUCCGCCUGGGGAGUACGACCGCAAGGUUG
rnacentral:rRNA from 1 species